rnacentral:rRNA from 1 species
CCUACGGGAGGCAGCAGUGAGGAAUAUUGGUCAAUGGACGAGAGUCUGAACCAGCCAAGUAGCGUGAAGGAUGACUGCCCUAUGGGUUGUAAACUUCUUUUAUAAAGGAAUAAAACGAGGCACGUGUGCCUUUUUGCAUGUACUUUAUGAAUAAGGAUCGGCUAACUCCGUGCCAGCAGCCGCGGUAAUACGGAGGAUCCGAGCGUUAUCCGGAUUUAUUGGGUUUAAAGGGAUCGUAGAUGGGGUGUUAAGUCAGUUGUGAAAGGUUGCGGCUCAACCGUAAAAUUGCAAUUGAUACUGGCAGUCUUGAGUACAGUUGAGGUAGGCGGAAUUCGUGGUGUAGCGGUGAAAUGCUUAGAUAUCACGAAGAACCCCGAUUGCGAAGGCAGCUUACUAAACUGUGACUGACAUUGAUGCUCGAAAGUGUGGGUAUCAAACAGGAUUAGAUACCCCGGUAGUC